AAAAAAGUCAUAAUUGGCAUUUUAAAAAUACAUAAAGUGACGCAACUUGGAUCGAAAGAAGGGUCGAAUCACUUUAUAUUAAAUCUAAGCCUCGAAUCGGACUAUGUCGACGGUGAAAAACCACAUGUAAAUUUGGGGGUGGCUAGAAAAUUCGUCUGCAUUGGUCUUAAUUUUGCAAUAACCCAAUGGGCCUAUAGCACGAAUAAGCCCCGCUUAACUAAAACGAAAUCUGAAAAAAUAUUCGGGAAACGCUACCAAUCCCCCACAACUCACGUCGCUUCAGAUCGCCGGCCGCCUCCUCCUUGA